rnacentral:rRNA from 1 species
UGUACGGAGAGUUUGAUCCUGGCUCAGAGUGAACGCUGGCGGCGUGGCUAAGACAUGCAAGUCGAGCGAGAAGUUCUCUUCGGAGAACAGAAAGCGGCAAACGGGUGAGUAACACGUAAGUAACCUGCCCUUUAGACGGGGAUAGCCUACCGAAAGGUGGAUUAAUACCGGAUGUGGGGGCUCACGGCAUGGUGAGCAACCUAAAGCUUGAAAUGGUGCUAAAGGAGGGGCUUGCGGCCUAUCAGCUAGUUGGCGGGGUAAUAGCCCACCAAGGCGAAGACGGGUAGCCGAUCUAAGAGGAUGAACGGCCACAUUGGAACUGAGACACGGUCCAAACAUCUACGGAUGGCAGCAGUUUCGAAUCAUUCACAAUGGGCGAAAGCCUGAUGGUGCGACGUCGCGUGGAGGAAGAAGGUCUUCGGAUUGUAAACUCCUGUCAUU